UUCUGACCGUAAACGAUGCCAACUAGCGAUCCGCCGGUGGUAAUUACGCCCCGGCGGGGAGCUUCCCGGAAACGAAAGUCUUCCGGUUCCGGGGGAAGUAUGGUUGCAAAGCUGAAACUUAAAGGAAUUGACGGAAGGGCACCACCAGGAGUGGAGCUUGCGGCUUAAUUUGACUCAACACGGGGAAACUCACCCGGCCCGGACACCGUAAGGAUUGACAGAUUGAGAGCUCUUUCUUGAUUCGGUGGUUGGUGGUGCAUGGCCGUUCUUAGUUGGUGGAGCGAUUUGUCUGGUUUAUUCCGAUAACGAACGAGACUCUGGCCUACUAACUAGUGACUGGAUUAUUGCUGUCCAGGUUACUUCUUAGAGGGACAAGUGGUGUUCAGCCACACGAAAUUGAGCAAUAACAGGUCUGUGAUGCCCUUAGAUGUCCGGGGCUGCACGCGUGCUACACUGGAGGAAACAGCAUGCAAAACCAUUGCCGAAGGGCAUUGGUAAACCCGAGAAAAUCUUC
rnacentral:rRNA from 1 species